rnacentral:rRNA from 1 species
UGGGGAAUUUUGCACAAUGGGGGAAACCCUGAUGCAGCGACGCCGCGUGAUUUAGAAGGCCUUCGGGUUGUAAAAAUCUUUUCUAUGGGAAGAAAAUGACAGUACCAUAGGAAUAAGGACCGGCUAAUUACGUGCCAGCAGCCGCGGUAAUACGUAAGGUCCGAGCGUUGUCCGGAAUCAUUGGGCGUAAAGGGUACGUAGGUGGGUAAGCAAGUUAGAAGUGAAAUCCUAUAGCUCAACUAUAGUAAGCUUUUAAAACUGCUCAGCUUGAGGUAAGGAAAGGAGAGUGGAAUUCCUGGUGUAGCGGUGAAAUGCGCAGAUAUUAGGAGGAAUACCGGUGGCGAAGGCGACUUUCUGGCCAUAACCUGACGCUGAGGUGCGAAAGCGUGGGUAGCAAACAGG